CCAAUGUAGACAUCUUGUUAGUCGGCUCUGUCCUUGUGGCAUAUGGGGGUGUAGCGCUCUGCUGUGACAUGUGGAAUGCAGUUCCAUUCCACGAAAUUGGAGCGCAUGCUCAGUCUCCGACUCUCGGGACGAUGAGGAUGGGAAUCAUGUAUAUUCCUCAUCUUCCCCAGAGUCCUCUGGGCCGUUACUGGGGCGCUAAACCACACAGUGCACAUUU